rnacentral:antisense_RNA from 1 species
UGCAAUGGCACGAUCUCGGCUCACUGCAACCUCUGCCUCCCGAGUUCAGGAGGGCUCUGAGAGAUUUCAUUUCUGUCCUGCUGAUGAAGUCUACUUUCAUUCAGGGCCUGCUGUGGAAGACCAGCCCCCAAAGGAGAAGGAGUUUUGCUCUGUUGCCCAGGCUGGAGUGCAGUGGUGCAAUCUCAGCUUACUGCGGCCUCUGCCUCCCAGGUUCAAGCAAUUCUCCUGCCUCAGCCACCUGAGCAGCUGGGAUUACAGUUGCUGAACAGAAGACUUUUGAGAGUCAGCAGAAAUCUUCCACUUUGCAUGGUUCUCUUGAUGUGAAAUCAUCUAUAUAGCCCCAGAAUUGGAAAAGAAAAAAA